GACUCUAAUCAGUGGAUGACUCGGUUCUCGGGUCGAUGAAGAACGCAGCCAGCUGCGAGACUUGGAGUGAAUUGCAGGACACGCUGAGCACUUCUUCUUUGAACGCACAUUGCGGCCUUGGGUCUUCCCUUGGCUUCGUCUGUCUGAGGGUCG
rnacentral:rRNA from 1 species